rnacentral:rRNA from 1 species
CCCUUAGAUGUCCUGGGCCGCACGCGCGCUACACUGACAUGUUCAACAAGUUUCUCCUAGUUCGACAGGACUGGGAAAUCUUUGAACGCAUGUCGUGAUAGGGAUAGAUCAUUGCAACUAUUGAUCUUGAACGAGGAAUUCCUAGUAAACGCGAGUCAUCAGCUCGCAUUGAUUACGUCCCUGCCCUUUGUACACACCGCCCGUCGCACCUACCGAUUGAAUGUUUCGGUGAAGAUUCCGGAUAGGACUGAUUUGAUUUAUUUCAUUUCUGACCUAAAAGCUAUCUAAACCUCAACAUUUAGAGGAAGGUGAAGUCGUAACA